GACGAACGCUGGCGGCGUGCCUAAUACAUGCAAGUCGAACGAGAGCGACCGGUGCUUGCACUGGUCAAUCUAGUGGCGAACGGGUGAGUAACACGUGGGUAACCUGCCCAUCAGAGGGGGAUAACAUCCGGAAACGGAUGCUAAAACCGCAUAGGUCUUCGAGCCGCAUGGCUUGAAGAGGAAAAGAGGCGCAAGCUUCUGCUGAUGGAUGGACCCGCGGUGCAUUAGCUAGUUGGUGAGGUAACGGCUCACCAAGGCCGUGAUGCAUAGCCGACCUGAGAGGGUGAUCGGCCACAUUGGGACUGAGACACGGCCCAAACUCCUACGGGAGGCAGCAGUAGGGAAUCUUCCGCAAUGGACGCAAGUCUGAAGGAACAACGCCGCGUGAGUGAAGAAGGUUUUCGGAUCGUAAAACUCUGUUGUUAGAGAAGAACAAGUGCUAGAGUAACUGUUAGCGCCUUGACGGUAUCUAACCAGAAAGCCACGGCUAACUACGUG
rnacentral:rRNA from 1 species